rnacentral:rRNA from 1 species
AUACGGAGGGUGCAGGCGUUACUCGGAAUCACUGGGCGUAAAGCGCGCGCAGGCGGCUUGAUAAGUUGGAUGUGAAAGCCUACGGCUCAACCGUAGAACUGCAUCCAAAACUGUCAGGCUAGAGUGUGGGAGAGGAAGAUGGAAUUAGUUGUGUAGGGGUAAAAUCCGUAGAGAUAACUAGGAAUACCAAAAGCGAAGGCAAUCUUCUGGAACACUACUGACGCUGAGGCGCGAAGGCGUGGGGAGCAAACAGGAUUAGAAACCCCAGUAGUCC